rnacentral:rRNA from 1 species
AUACGGAGGGUGCAAGCGUUAAUCGGAAUUACUGGGCGUAAAGCGUACGUAGGCGGUUUAUUAAGUCAGAUGUGAAAGCCCCGGGCUUAACCUGGGAACUGCAUUUGAAACUAGUAGACUAGAGUAUGGUAGCGGGGGGUAGAGUUCCUAGUGUAGCGGUGAAAUGCGUACAUAUUAGGAGGAAUACCAGUGGCGAAGGCGGCCCCCUGGACCAAUACUGACGCUGAGGUACGAAAGCGUGGGGAGCGAACAGGAUUAGAAACCCUAGUAGUCC